rnacentral:lncRNA from 1 species
UCGAUUGUGCAUCAUGCCAUGAUUAUGUGACGGUUGUUUAUUAUGUUGUUUGCUCCUUUUCGGUGUUGCUUCUCGGGUGAGUUCCGAUAACGUCGUGUUGUGAGGAUUUGUUCGACUACGUCCGUUUGUCUUCUUCAUGGACUCAUUCUUCUUCCUUGCGGGAUUUCAGGCAAGAUGACCAUACCCUCGAAAUCACUUCUAUCUUUGCUUGCUAGUUGCUCGCUCUUUUGCUAUGCCUAUGUUGCGAUACCUACCACUUGCUUAUCAUGCCUCCCAUAUUGUUGAACCAAGCCUCUAACCCACCUUGUCCUAGCAAACCGUUGUUUGGCUAUGUUACCGCUUUGCUCAGCCCCUCUUAUAGCGUUAUUAGUUGCAGGUGAAGAUGAAGUUUGUUCCUUGUUGGAACAUGGAGAUGUUGUUCCUUGUUGGAACAUGUUUACUUGUUGAGAUAUCACAAUAUCUCUUAUUUAAUUAAUGCAUCUAUAUACUUGGUAAAGGGUGGAAGGCUCGGCCUUAUGCCUAGUGUUUUGUUCCACUGUUACCGCCCUAGUUUCCGUCAUAUCGGUGUUAUGUUCCUGGAUUUUGCGUUCCUUACGCGGUUGGGUUAUAAUGGGAACCCCUUGACAGUUCACCUUGAAUAAAACUCCUCCAGCAAUGCCCAACCUUGGUUUUACCAUUUGCCACCUAGCCUUUUCUUUCCCUUGGGUUUUGCAGACUCAAGGGUCAUCUUUAUUUUAACCCCCCUGGGCCAGUGCUUCUCUAAGUGUUGGUCCAACUAAGCGAUGUCCGGAGCUACCAGGGGCAACUCUGGGCUGGCCCACCUGACGUCUUGCUCAUCCGGUGUGCCCUAAGAACGAGAUAUGUGCAGCUCCUAUCGGGAUUUGUCGGCACAUCUGGGUGGCUUUGCUGGACUUGUUUUACCAUUGUCGAGGAUGUCUUGUAACAGGGAUUCCGAGUCUGAUCGGGUCUUCCCGCUAGAAGGAAUAUCCUUCAUUGACUGUGAGAGCUUGUGAUGGGCUAAGUUGGGAUACCCUGCAGGGUUUUGAAAUUUCGAAAGCCGUGCCCGCGGUUAUGGGCAGAUGGGAAUUUCUUAAUGUCCGGUUGUAGAAAACCUGAAAUUGAUCUUAAUUAGAAUGCAUCAACCGCGUGUGUAACCGUGAUGGUCUCUUCUCGGCGGGGUCCGGGAAGUGAACACGGUGUUGGAGUAAUGCUUGACGUAGGUUGUUCUAGGAUCACUUCUUGAUCAUAGUGGUUCGACCGUGCUUUUGCCUUCUCUUCUCGCUCUCUUUUGCGUAUGUUAGACACCAUAUAUGCUAGUCGCUGCUGCAGAUCCAUCUCAUACCUUUUACCUUACCCAUAAGCUUAAAUAGUCUUGAUCGCGAGGGUGUGAGAUUGCUGAGUCCCCGUGACUCACAGAUACCUCCAAAACCAGUUUGCAGGUAACGAUGUUACCGAGCAGGUGACGCAGCCAAGCUCAAGGAGGAGCUCGAUGAAGAUCUUGUCCUUUGUGUUGUUUCGUUCUAGUUGAUCAGUAGUGGAUCCUAGUUGGGGUUGAUCGGGGACCUUGUCGCAUUUGGGGUUCUUCUUUUAUUUUGGUUCCGUAGUCGGACCUUGAUUGCAUUUGGAUGAUGUAAUGCUUUAUUCAUGUAUUGUGUGAAGUGGCGAUUGUAAGCCAACUAUGUAUUCUUUUCCCUUAUGUAUUACAUGGGUUGUGUGAAGAUUACCUCACUUGCGACAUUGCUUUCAAUGCGGUUAUGCCUCUAAGUCGUGCUUCGACAUGUGGGAGAUAUAGCCGCAUCAAGGGCGUUACAGGUGUACCAAGCAUAGAUCCAUCCGUCGAGGCGGGAUUGGGAACCCUGCACACAUCGUUUGGGGCUGUAAGCGACACCCCGGCCGGAUCUCCUUGCGGAUGGAAUCCGAAUAGGCGAUAAACCUGGACUAGAGACUUGUGUGGUUAGUCAGGUUGUGGCCGACUCCCUUGCCAGGCUUCCGCUUGAAGGUUGCCGAGAUACAUGAUGUGUACAUGGUGGUAAGUGGCGAGAGCGUGUGUGAAGAAGUACACCCCUGCAGGGUUAACAUCAUCUAUUCAAAUAGUCGCGUCCGCGGUAAUGGACUUCUGGGUUGCCUGUACAGUUCAUAGAUAACUUGAAGUGGAUACUCUAAAAUGCGCAAGAUAAGCGUGAGUGCCAUGGAUGGUGUUCUCAUAGGGAGACGGGAGCGGAUCCAUAGUGGUGUAUUGAUUUGGUGAAUAUGUGGACUCGUGUGCGCCACCUCAAAAGAGUUACUUGUAGUCGUAGUUCAGGAUAGCCACCGAGUCAAAGCUGGCUUGCUGAAGUCAAAAUCCACCUCCCCUUUAUUGAUACUGAUACAUAUGUAGCUAGUUCUGAUGUAAGUCUUGCUGGGUACAUUUGCACUCACGUUUGCUUAAUUUAUGUUUUUGCAGAGAGACUUCAGUCUCACUAGUAGUUCCGCGUGGACUUCGACAUUUAGCUUGUUACCUCAGCUACGAUCUUGUACCCUUGGGAGGGUCUUGUAGAUAGUCAGGCUUCUCAGCUUUUCAUUUGUAGUUGCCUGUACUCAGACAUGUUUAUGCUUCCGCUCGAUGCUUGUAUGCUCUGUAUGUUGGGUCAUGAGACCCAUGUUUGUAAUACUUGGCUCCUUGGAGCCUAAUGAAUAAAUACUCUGAGUCAUAGAGUCUUUUUGUGAUGCCAUGUUGUAC